rnacentral:misc_RNA from 1 species
AACCUAGCACACCUGCGGUGUGUACCUGCGGAGGGAUCAUUACCGAGUUUACAACUCCCAAACCCCUGUGAACAUACCUAUAUGUUGCCUCGGCGGAUCAGCCCGCGCCCCGUAAAACGGGACGGCCCGCCGCAGGAUCCACAAACUCUGUUUUUAUUGUAACUUCUGAGUAACAAAACAAAUAAAUCAAAACUUUUAACAAUGGAUCU